GCCAACAUGCACCACCGGCGAGCAUCCCGAAAAUCUAUUCUAUCGGGUUGGAGUAACCUUUGAAGACAGUAACCGAAACCUGCUACUGACGAAGGUCCAUUAAAAAAGAAAAAAGAAAACCCUACCUCCCCCUUUCUCAUUCUCUCUCUCCGUCCCUCCCUCUCUCACUUCCAAAACCGACGACCUCUCUCUCUCUCUCUCUCUCUCUCUCUCUCUCUCUCUCUCUCUCCCCGCCCUCCAUUCCAUCCUUCCAAAAUCGACAACCUAUCUCUCUCACUUUAAAUGCUAGAGGAGAGAGCUCCCCUUUGGAUUUGCAGAUCUCAACGAGCUCAUGUAAUUUCAAUGGCAGACCUGUUCGAUUCUCGCGCUCGCAUCGGAUUUAAGGAGUGUCUAUUUGAUGAUAGCAACAGCACGCCCAGAGACAUUAUUUGCUGAUACAGCUAUCGCAGUGCAUCCCGAGGUAUUAUUGUGCUAUUUGACUGGUCAUUUUAGAACUGGACAAUCCUUUUAACCAGCAGGGGAUUCCAAUUGGAUUUGUGCUUUAAAAUUUUUAUUAUUAUUUAUCAUUAGCAUUUUUCUUCAAUAUUCUAUUGUCUAGUUUAGCGUCAAUGUUUUGUCUGCCUUCUUCUUUUCCUAAAUUUAUAACUGGAUAUUGUGAUACAUUGGCAUUAAGGCUUUAGAUGACGACGACAAUGAAGGACUGGAUUUUGUGACAACUUGAGAAUAUACUUUUAGAGAUUGUUGAAUGAUGAUGCUGUCACAAGAUAGAAUUAGGAGGGGCCUUAGAUCUUGGAAGGUUGGAAAGGCAUAUGUAUUAUCAUACAUCAUUAGGAAGGGUUGAGAAGUUUCUAGCGAUUUUAGAGGAUAAUGUUGGUUGAUGCUUCAGUUGUUUUAGUAUUUCCAAAACAGCUAAAAGAGAUAGGUAAAGUAAUCAUCAGUCUUAAUUUCCAACUUGUAUUGCUGUGUCUGCAUAAGAUUCAUGUAUUUCCGUGUUUGCACCCAACAUGAAGCUUGUAGUUGGCUGUAAAAUAUCAAUCAUGAAUAGAGUAAUAGAUGCUUGCCCACCUCUAUACAUGAAUCUGCUCCGCUUCCUGUCA